rnacentral:rRNA from 1 species
UGCCUUACACAUGCAAGUCGAACGGUAACAGGCCUUCGGAUGCUGACGAGUGGCGAACGGGUGAGUAAUACAUCGGAACGUGCCCGAGAGUGGGGGAUAACGAAGCGAAAGCUUUGCUAAUACCGCAUACGAUCUCAGGAUGAAAGCAGGGGACCGCAAGGCCUUGCGCUCACGGAGCGGCCGAUGGCAGAUUAGGUAGUUGGUGGGAUAAAAGCUUACCAAGCCGACGAUCUGUAGCUGGUCUGAGAGGACGACCAGCCACACUGGGACUGAGACACGGCCCAGACUCCUACGGGAGGCAGCAGUGGGGAAUUUUGGACAAUGGGCGCAAGCCUGAUCCAGCCAUGCCGCGUGCAGGAUGAAGGCCUUCGGGUUGUAAACUGCUUUUGUACGGAACGAAAAGACUCUGGUUAAUACCUGGGGUCCAUGACGGUACCGUAAGAAUAAGCACCGGCUAACUACGUGCCAGCAGCCGCGGUAAUACGUAGGGUGCGAGCGUUAAUCGGAAUUACUGGGCGUAAAGCGUGCGCAGGCGGUUAUGUAAGACAGAUGUGAAAUCCCCGGGCUCAACCUGGGAACUGCAUUUGUGACUGCAUAGCUAGAGUACGGCAGAGGGGGAUGGAUUCCGCGUGUAGCAGUGAGAUGCGUAGAUAUGCGGAGGACACCGAUGGCGAAGGCAAUCCCCUGGGCCUGUACUGACGCUCAUGCACGAAGCGUGGGGAGCAAACAGGAUUAGA